rnacentral:rRNA from 1 species
UACGUAGGGUGCAAGCGUUGUCCGGAAUUAUUGGGCGUAAAGAGCUCGUAGGCGGUCUGUCGCGUCGGCUGUGAAAUCCCGAGGCUCAACCUCGGGUCUGCAGUCGAUACGGGCAAACUAGAGUAUUGCAGGGGAGACUGGAAUUCCUGGUGUAGCGGUGAAAUGCGCAGAUAUCAGGAGGAACACCGGUGGCGAAGGCGGAUCUCUGGGCCAUAACUGACGCUGAGGAGCGAAAGCAUGGGGAGCGAACAGG